rnacentral:tRNA from 1 species
UUCUCCAUAGCUCAGUGGUUAGAACGUCCAACUGGCACCUGGAAGGUCAUGGGUUCUAUUCCCAUUGGAGAGC